AGUGGAUGGGGAGCAACCUAGUUGUGCGUGUGUAAAGGUAGUGCCAAGAAAAGCGAUGAUCAUGUUGAAAUCAAUUCCCGGUACCCGAAACCGACACAGGUGGGCAAGUAGAGAAUACUAAGGGGCGCGAGGUAACUCUCUCCAAGGAACUCGGCAAAAUGACCCCGUAACUUAGGGAGAAGGGGUGCCACCGAGAGGUGGUCGCAGUGAAGAGGCCCAGGCGACUGUUUAGCAAAAACAUAGGUCUCUGCAAACUCGAAAGAGGAGGUAUAGGGGCUGACGCCUGCCCAGUGCCGGAAGGUUAAAGAAGUUGGUCAGUCUUAGGAUGAAGCUAGCGACUGAAGCCCCGGUGAACGGCGGCCGUAACUAUAACGGUCCUAAGGUAGCGAAAUUCCUUGUCGGGUAAGUUCCGACCCGCACGAAAGGCGUAACGAUCUGGGCGCUGUCUCGGAGAGAGGCUCGGCGAAAUAGGAUUGUCUGUGAAGAUACGGACUACCUGCAUUUGGACAGAAAGACCCUAUGAAGCUUUACUAUAGCUUGGAAUUGUGUUCGGGCUUCCUGUGCGCAGGAUAGGUGGGAGGCGUAGAAGGUAUUCUUGUGGGGAUACUGGAGCCAACGGUGAGAUACCACUCUCAGGAGGCUAGAAUUCUAACUUAAUUAAGGACAGUUUCAGGUGGGUAGUUUGACUGGGGCGGUCGCCUCCAAAAAGGUAACGGAGGCGUACAAAGGUUCCCUCAGACUGGUUGGAAAUCAGUCGAAGAGUGCAAAGGCAGAAGGGAGCUUGACUGCGAGAAGUACAGUUCGAGCAGGGUGGAAACACGGUCUUAGUGAUCCGACGGUGCUGUGUGGAAGGGCCGUCGCUCAACGGAUAAAAGUUACUCUAGGAUAACAGGCUGAUCUCCCCCAAGAGUUCACAUCGACGGGGAGGUUUGGCACCUCGAUGUCGGCUCAUCGCAACCUGGGGCGGAAGUACGUCCCAAGGGUUGGGCUGUUCGCCCAUUAAAGCGGUACGUGAGCUGGGUUCAGAACGUCGUGAGACAGUUCGGUCCAUAUCCGAUGUAGGCGUGAGAAUAUUGAGAGGAGCCUUCCUUAGUACGAGAGGACCGGGAAGGACGCACCGCUGGUGUACCUGUUAUGAUGCCAAUUGUAAACGCAGGGUAGCCAAGUGCGGAGAGGAUAACCGCUGAAAGCAUCUAAGUGGGAAGCCCACCUCAAGAUGAGUAUUCUGGUGUAAGGUCACGGGAAGACGACCCGUAAAUAGGCACGAGGUGGAAGUGCAGAGAUGUAUGAAGCCGAAGUGUACUAAUAGACCGUCGGCUUGACC
rnacentral:rRNA from 1 species